GAAAUAUUCUGCAGUGUGCUCCUCAGGACAAUGGCAAGAGGGAGGCUAGGUGCAGAUGCUUUAGAAGAGAAUGUUGUUGACGGUGUUACCAAUCUUCUGCCGGGUUAAACCGUGCCAAAGUAAAUUGAUGAGGGUGAUAUACCGGAGAGCAAUAACACUGCAGGAGAUAACACAUCCAGCCAUCAAAAUGUAUGACGGGGCUAGAUGUCAUCUUGUUACGUGACCAAGGACUUCCAAAUGUGAGAUGUUCAUACCGUGUUAUGAAGAAAAAACUGAGACAUUUUGAUGCAGU
rnacentral:lncRNA from 1 species